CUAGAUUGUGAUUUCAGCUCCUAGAUUGAGUGGUGCACUGUGUUCUUAAGCAAAACAAUUCAUCUCACAUCGCUGUGUGAUCAUUUCAUC